AAAACCAAUGCCCCUCGGGGCUUCCUGGUGAUUCAUAAUAACUUCUCGAAUCGCACGGCCUUGCGCCGGUGAUGGUUCAUUCAAAUUUCUGCCCUAUCAACUUUCGAUGGUAGGAUAGUGGCCUACCAUGGUGGCAACGGGUAACGGGGAAUUAGGGUUCGAUUCCGGAGAGGGGGCCUGAGAAACGGCUACCACAUCCAAGGAAGGCAGCAGGCGCGCAAAUUACCCAAUCCCGAUACGGGGAGGUAGUGACAAUAAAUACUGAUACAGGGCCCUUUUGGGUCUUGUAAUUGGAAUGAGUACAAUCUAAAUCCCUUAACGAGGAACAAUUGGAGGGCGAGUCUGGUGCCAGCAGCCGCGGUAAUUCCAGCUCCAAUAGCGUAUAUUAAGUUGUUGCAGUUAAAAAGCUCGUAGUUGAACCUUGGGCCUGGCUGGCCGGUCCGCCUCACCGCGAGUACUGGUCCGGCUGGGCCUUUCCUUCUGGGGAACCCCAUGGCCUUCACUGGCUGUGGCGGGGAACCAGGACUUUUAC
rnacentral:rRNA from 1 species